CACAGCAUUCCGGGAUGGGAGAAAAACAUGCUCUGGUUUGUUGGCAUUUCUUUAAACCAAUCACAAUCGUCUUGGGCGGUGCUUAGCGCCGCACGGAGCAACGGUGCUUCUGCAAAAUAGUGUCGGGAAGGAAUUUGUAAAUCUAAACACC